GAACUAUUCGUUCCAUUUUUAGAAGUUCUGGACGAUUCUCUAAAUGGAGCACCAUACAGUAUGACAGAGCUCAGUGAUAAGAGCAGGUGUCACCAAACCUCAUCACAGAGGGCUUCCAGGUGCAGCGCCUCGAGUUUCUGGGUCAUCUCCUUCCUGCGGUUCCGGAACCAGCCGUCGAAGUUGGGAGACUUCAGAAACUGCCUGUGAUGUCAGACACGGGUCACAGGUGAACCACGAGAGACACACACAAACACUGUAACUACAAAUGGUUGCACCCCCUGAAUUUGUGUCACAGCGGGGCAGCAAAGGCUGUCCCAUUUCAAUGGCUCCUUCAAAUGCGGUGUAGUGAUGUGGCCUCCUCUUCCUGCUCCACAAAGGAUGCACCCAAUGGAUCCUUCAUAUCCCAAGAUUCAUUGCACAUAGGAAAAGUGGGUGUGUUCCCGCUAGGCGAUAGGGGCAGUGCUCGUGAAUCAAAAAGCAGAUGUCCAGCUUACCUUCCAAGGUGAAAUGCUCUUCUGCAAAGGCAUCAGACUCGCCACAUAACGCUCCUGGGGGAAGGGAGGGUCAAACAGGGGAGACUGAAAAAUAUAUGGAUGGAUGUAACCAGUGUAGGUGAACCAGAGCAGGAUGACCAUCACAGCCCUGCAAAACAGAGGAGGCCGGAUCUUCCAGGGAGGACAGGAUGGAGAUGGAUCCAUCGGGCUGGGAAGCAGGCGGAGGAGCAGGCCAAACCUAGAACUGGCUGCAAGCGGAGAAACAGCCGCCGGGAUCAGCCACUGCCUCAACAGGAGGGGGGGGGUCAUCAGGGGGCCAGAGCGGAACUCACAGUGUUUUAUUCAAAUAUCAAACCAAAACAGGUUGUAAUCCAAGUAGUUCCCAUCAUCUACAGUCCUUUUGGUAAGACCUGAGAACAUGGUAUUAGACGCUGUCAAGCCAUGUUGUUCAGGAGGAAAUGCACCGUUACGCAGCGUCGCCCUCCACAGGUCAAGGAGAACACUAACCUGACCA